rnacentral:misc_RNA from 1 species
GAUGAAGAACGCAGCGAAAUGCGAUAAGUAAUGUGAAUUGCAGAAUUCAGCGAAUCAUCGAAUCUUUGAACGCACAUUGCGCCCGCCAGUAUUCUGGCGGGCAUGCCUGUUCGAGCGUCAUUUCAACCAUCAAGCCCCAGGCUUGUGUUGGGGACCUGCGGCUGCCGCAGGCCCUGAAAACCAGUGGCGGGCUCGCUGUCACACCGUGCGUAGUAGAUUUUAUCUCGCUCAGGGCGUGCUGCGGGUUCCGGCCGUUAAAAAGCCUUUUUUACCCAAGGUUGACCUCGGAUCAGGUAGGAAGACCCGCUGAACUUAAGCAUAUCAAUAAGCGGAGGA